UUGGUGUCCUACCUGUAGCUCACAACCUGCCAGUUUUAGGUUGUAACUCCUUCGACGCCGAAAAAAAUUGCUUCACUCCUGUGCCGUGUGGAGCCUUACCUCCAUUACGGCAAGUACUGUCGUGAACUGGCUUGUUGUGAAGUGUUUGCGAUUCCAAAGACGUGGAGGACCUCAGACAGGCUGCAGUCCCUGCUGACACUCGUAACCUCAGCGGCCACUUCCCUCUGAGAAGAUCCUGUUUUCAACCUCAAUCACACUGACGUUUGAUAUACGACAUCAUAAAUGGCAAUGGCCCAAGAGAACGCCAAGGUGUCAAGUUGGGACUACUCCAAAGCCAGGUAAGAAG